rnacentral:rRNA from 1 species
AUUGAACGCUGGCGGCAGGCCUAACACAUGCAAGUCGAACGAGUGGCGGACGGGUGAGUAAUGUCUUGGCAACUUCCUGAUUGCUGGGGAUAACUACUGGAAAAGGUAGCUAAUACCGCAUACCAUCGGAUGUGCCCCGAUGGGAUUAGCUAGGCGGUGGGGUAAAGGCUCACCUAGGCGACGAUCCCUAGCUGGUCUGAGAGGAUGACCAUCCACACUGGAACUGAGACACGGUCCAGACUCCUACGGGAGGCAGCAGUGGGGAAUAUUGCACAAUGGGCGCAAGCCUGAUGGAGCCAUGCCGCGUGUAUGAAGAAGGUCUUCGGGUUGUAAAGUACUUUAAGUGGGGAGGCGUUACCCGCAGAAGAAGCAACGGCUAACUCCGUGCCAGCAGCCGCGGUAAUAC